AUUGAACGCUGGCGGCAGGCUUAACACAUGCAAGUCGAGCGGGGAAGGGUAGCUUGCUACCUGACCUAGCGGCGGACGGGUGAGUAAUGCUUAGGAAUCUGCCUAUUAGUGGGGGACAACAUUCCGAAAGGAAUGCUAAUACCGCAUACGCCCUACGGGGGAAAGCAGGGGAUCUUCGGACCUUGCGCUAAUAGAUGAGCCUAAGUCAGAUUAGCUAGUUGGUGGGGUAAAGGCCUACCAAGGCGACGAUCUGUAGCGGGUCUGAGAGGAUGAUCCGCCACACUGGGACUGAGACACGGCCCAGACUCCUACGGGAGGCAGCAGUGGGGAAUAUUGGACAAUGGGCGCAAGCCUGAUCCAGCCAUGCCGCGUGUGUGAAGAAGGCCUUUUGGUUGCAAAGCACUUUAAGCGAGGAGGAGGCUACUUGGAUUAAUACUCUAGGAUAGUGGACGUUACUCGCAGAAUAAGCACCGGCUAACUCUGUGCCAGCAGCCGCGGUAAUACAGAGGGUGCGAGCGUUAAUCGGAUUUACUGGGCGUAAAGCGUGCGUAGGCGGCUUUUUAAGUCGGAUGUGAAAUCCCUGAGCUUAACUUAGGAAUUGCAUUCGAUACUGGGAAGCUAGAGUACGGGAGAGGAUGGUAGAAUUCCAGGUGUAGCGGUGAAAUGCGUAGAGAUCUGGAGGAAUACCGAUGGCGAAGGCAGCCAUCUGGCCUAAUACUGACGCUGAGGUACGAAAGCAUGGGGAGCAAACAG
rnacentral:rRNA from 1 species